rnacentral:rRNA from 1 species
CCUACGGGUGGCAGCAGUGAGGAAUAUUGGUCAAUGGCCGGAAGGCUGAACCAGCCAUGCCGCGUGAAGGGCAGGGGCCUAGGGGCGUUAAACUUCUUUUGGGCGGGAGCAAGAAUGGGCACGUGGGGCCAGACGAGAGUACCGUACGAAGAAGCAGCGGCGACCUCCGGGCCAGCAGCCGCGGUAAGACGGGGGAUGCAAGCGUUAGCCGGAUUUAUUGGGGUUAAAGGGGGCGGAGGCUGGGAGGUAAGUCAGCGGUGAAAUGCCCCCGCUCAACGGGGUGAAGUGCCAUUGAUACUGCCUUUCUGGACUGCGGCUGCCGUUGGCGGCAUGUGUGGUGUAGCGG